AAAGAUUAAGCCAUGCAUGUCUAAGUAUAAGCAAUUAUACCGCGAAACUGCGAAUGGCUCAUUAAAUCAGUUAUCGUUUAUUUGAUAGUACCUUACUACAUGGAUAACCGUGGUAAUUCUAGAGCUAAUACAUGCUGAAAAUCCCGACUUCGGAAGGGAUGUAUUUAUUAGAUUAAAAACCAAUGCCCUUCGGGGCUCUCUGGUGAUUCAUAAUAACUUCUCGAAUCGCACGGCCUUGCGCCGGCGAUGGCUCAUUCAAAUUUCUGCCCUAUCAACUUUCGACGGCUGGGUCUUGGCCAGCCGUGGUGA
rnacentral:rRNA from 1 species